UUCAGGGGUAAACCUGAGAAACCCGAAAGGUCGAAAGGGGAAAUUCAUUCGCGUUUCGAUGCUCGGAGCGAGACGGUCGAGCGACGGAUGGCGUACGCGUCGUCCGCGCCUUUCGUUUCGCGAUCCGAUGUCGAACGCGUGCACUUUUCCCCUAGUAGGACGUCGCGAUCCGUUGGGUGUCGGUUUAAGGCUCGCGGUGGAGCCCGGGUGAGCGUUUCGACGUUUCGCCCGGACCCGUGAUGUCCCGGCCGACUCGCUCGACGGUAUACGGAUGGCGAGGGGCCGCUCUUGUAGCGUUCGGCCCGCGGCAAGCGCGUACGGUGUUGACGGCGAUCGGACCUAGUGCCGGUCCUGUCCCCGGACGACUGUUGGCCGUGGUGUUCUCGAACAGACCUCGAUUUUACGCCGAUCCGCGACGCUAUAGCUUUGGGUACUUUCAGGACCCACGGACCAAGGAGUCUAGCAUGUGCGCGAGUCAUUGGGACAUAUCUAAACCUAAAGGCGCAAUGAAAGUGAAGGUUCGCCUUGCGCGAACCGAGGGAGGAUGGGUGAUCCGUAUUCACGUACGGUCGCUCCGCACUCCCGGGGCGUCUCGUUCUCAUCGCGAGAAGAGGCGCACCAAGAGC
rnacentral:rRNA from 1 species